ACUUCAAAUAAGUCAACAUACUCGCCGGAAAAAUUUCUUUACCAAAAAGAUUUCCGAGCAAGCGGUUCGUUUCUCGAAGAGAUAGAGGAGAAUAAAAACUGUUACAGUAAUGGCGUUCCGUGAAAAGGAUAGAAAUUAUCAACAAUCGUAUGCUGGAUAAUGAUUGGCUAGAGUGAUCAACCACGUGGAUUUUUCAUAGCAACCAACAAAAUGGCGGUCUCGAUGAUAUUCAUUCGGCGCCUAUCUCAUCUUAUGUUGAGGCACACACAGUCUGAAAAACGUGUUUCGCCAAAGGUCUUCUAAUUCAACAAAAAGAAUGACGACAUUCAGAUGAAAUGAACGGUUCCAUUUCGCAACGUUUAAGGCUUUAAAAUUGACGUCCCUUGAUAAAGGUUUAUUGGGAUGUAUCUUUUCCUUGCGGAAGAAAUGCUGCUUUCAAAAAAGUCGUGGGCUUAAGAAUCGACAUGAAACUAUUAAAUAUACAUAAAUAAAGAAUAAACUCAAAAUAAAACCA
rnacentral:sRNA from 1 species